rnacentral:rRNA from 1 species
AGAGUUUGAUCCUGGCUCAGAAUCAACGCUGGCGGCGCGCUUAACACAUGCAAGUCGCACGAGAAAGUGGAGCAAUCCAUGAGUACAGUGGCGUACGGGUGAGUAACACGUGGAUCAUCUACCUUCUAGUGGGGAAUACCCCCGGGAAACUGGGGACAAUACCGCAUAAGCUCGUAAGAGGAAAGCAGCAAUGCGCUGGAAGAGGAGUCCGCGGCUGAUUAGCUAGUUGGCGGGGUAACGGCCCACCAAGGCGAAGAUCGGUAGCCGGCCUGAGAGGGCACACGGCCACACUGGCACUGAAACACGGGCCAGACUCCUACGGGAGGCAGCAGUGGGGAAUCUUGCACAAUGGAGGAAACUCUGAUGCAGCGACGCCGCGUGAGCGAUGAAGCCCUUCGGGGUG